GGAUCAAAAUGUCGGUCGUGCCUUCGGUACGUACUGGUAUCAUUGGUCUCUCCUUUCUGACGAACCAUGAUGUCAUUAAUUUGGUGUUAUGGGGAAUUUGGACUGUUACUUUGAAAAAAUUAGAGUGUUUAAAGCAAGCUAACGCUUGAAUACAUUAGCAUGGAAUAAUGAAAUAGGACGCUCGAUCCUAUUUUGUUGGUUUCUAGGAUUGACGUA
rnacentral:rRNA from 1 species